CACUUCGCCUCCAAGACUCCUCUCUAGGUACGGGGAUUUGGAUAUCAAUACAUAUAGGGGGAUUUAAUCCUUAACACUAGUCAACAAUGUAUAUAACCAAUGACGUAAUGGUUUAUCUAACCUUGAGGGUAACCAACCAGAAUAGGGCUGAUGCAACUGCAAACUGAUAGAUUGUGAGGUGUACCCAGAGUUCUCAGCUUCCCCAACCAGAACGUAGGGCUAAUCCCCAAGCCAAGAUGAGUGUUGAGUCCCUAUGACUGCCUGAGGAGUUGCAGAACACCACAUACUGACCAUAGGUGACUCCAACCCCUGGUGCAGAUCGGGGCAGAGAUCUCUGUGAACAGGGACCACCAGCACACUGUACUGGCAGUGAAUGAGUGGCAGCCAAGGCAGUGAGAGACCUAGUAGUCAACGCCUAGAGGCAAUGCUUGCCUUCCACCUGCUCUCUCCUCUUGCUUACAGUGGUUGCUUGGCUCGUUGACAGAAAUAAAUGAGUGAAAGCUGCUUGAGUUAAGUGGUGUUUGUGUGAGAUUUCUCUUGGUAUUGCCUACUUCCCCACAUCCUGAAUUUAGUUCCUUGCUUUGUUGUUGAGUUGCUCAGAAUAAAACAUUGUGUAAUCUAGGAAGUGCCAUUUAAUCUCCCUGUAAACCCAUCUGUAAGGUGAGGAUAUUAAUGGUUGUUGUACAAAUAAAUGAGUUAAUAUAUGCCAAGUGCUUAGAACAGUGCUGGCACAUAAUAAAUGCUAUGUAGAUGUCAACUAUUAUUAUUAUCAAGAAUUGGGGAAGGCCGCAGGUAUGGGGAUAUUCAAAACUUGUGAUGCAUGACUAAUUUUGCCUGCCGAACAAUAAGCAAUUUCCUUUUCACUCAAUAACGUUGUCUUUCAGCUUCUCAAACAUGCUUCUUUUGCUUUACAGUGUCUUCAAAGUAGGCCAGACAAGCUUGGAGACUGAAAGAGUCUCUUAAUAUUUGGGAAAUGCAAAUAGUCCUUUCUGGCAGUGACCAUGGUGUGAGAGAGUUAGCGGCUCUGCAACGGAGGGCCUGGAGCCUGGAAGUACGCAGAUUCCUCUCUCCAAAGAUUCUGCCCCGCAGCACUGAGACACUGCUGUCUCUGUUGUGUGGCAAACUACUACAACAGUUGCCAAGACCACCUCAGGAGACACCAACACAGUCAUAGUUCCUGGGCUCCCUGAGGUCCAGGAUGCUUGCAGAAGAAAUCUCCCACAGAAGAAGCAUUUAUAACCAUGAGUCACCAAAUAUAUGAGAAAGACCAACAAGGUGAGAGAAAUCUGCAAACUCAGCAAAUGAAAAAAUCCAGCACCAGAUAGGGAUAAUACAGAAGCCCAAAAUUUCUUUUUAUACACAUACUCAGGGCAGUGGUAAGCAGAAUAAUGCAACCCAUAGAUAUCCAUGUCCUAACCCCCGGAAUGUGUGAAUAUGUUACCUUACGUGACAAAGGGGAACUAAGAUUACAGGUAGAAUUAAGGUUGUAAUCAGCUGACUUUAAAAUAGGAAGAUUAUUGUCAAUUAUCGGGUGGACCCAAUGUAAUGACCAAAUCCAAAAAGCCAAACCCAUCACCGUCAAGUCAAUUCCAACUCAUGGCGACCCAAUAGGACAGAGUAGAACUGCACCAGAAUUUCCAAGCAGUACCUGGUGGAUUUCAACUCCUGACUUUUUGGUUAGCAGCCAUAGUGCUUAACCACUAUGCCACCAAAGGUCCUUGUCAGUGAAAUAGGGAGGCAGAAGAGGAGGUUGAAGUGAUGCAAUGUGAUGCAAAGUGCUUCGUUUUGUUGUGCAUGGGGUCACUAUGAAUCAGAACCAGCUUUAAGGCACCUAACAACGACAAUGUGAGAACCAUUGCUGGUUUUGAAGAGGAAAGAAGGGGAUCAUGAGCCAAGGAAUAUGAGCAGCCUCCAGAAGUUGUAAAAGGCCAGGAAAUGACUUUCCCCUACAGUCUCCAGAAAAAAACAGCCUUUGCUGACUCCUUGAUGUUAGCCCAGUGAGACCUGCCUCAGAAUUGUGACUUACGGAACUGCAAGAUAAUAAGUUUGUAUUGCUUUAAGCUACUAAACUUUUGGUAAUUCGUUACAGCAGCAAUAGGGAACUAAUACAGACCUUCUUUGGAAAAUUGGAUGAUCUGGAGCCCCCAGUCUGUUUUCCACAUGAUAAUAGGCUGAGGUUGCGAAGCUGCUGUCAGUUGGUAGUACAGAGGGUUGGGGAGGAAGGUGUAGAGGCAGGGGUAUUACACACCACCAUUCUUUUUGUUAAUUUACGUCUAGCUGGCUUUACUUAGUUAUGUUAAAGGUCUGGACCCUGUAGUCACUGGACUGUUUUUAUGUGACAAGCACCAUACCAGGCAUAGAGAUGGCCAAAAUGCAUCAGACCCAGUUGUAGAUGUUGAGUGUUUAUGGUCUGGUGGAAGAGGGAUUCAUAAACAGAUUUCAACACAGUGUUAUGAGUGCUCUAAGAGCAGUGCACAGCCCAGCUUCAGGGAAGCCUUCAUGGAGCCAGUGCCUCCAGGUCUCUACCAAUAAGAUCUCAGCUUCAAAUAGCAGCAGCUUUCACUUAUAUCCAAGGAGCUCCUUUGAAAAUCUACAGAUCACAACAGAACAUUGUCCAACUCUCUUCCUUUGGACUCAUCAUCAGAACGAAUCAAUCACUGGUGGAAGACAUCAUGUUUGGUGCAGUAGAGGUCCAGGGAGGGUGAGAGAGACCCUCAGUGAGAUGGAUUGGCACAAUAGCUGCAAUGAUGGACUCAAACAUGCCAACGAUUGUGAGGAUGAGUAGAACUAGGCAACGUUUCAUUCCGUUGUACAUAAGGUUGCAAUGAAUGAAAGUUGACCCAAUGGCAACUAUCUAUCUAUCACUUCUACAUUACUUGCUAUAUAUCAUACACUGCCCUAAGUGUCUUACAUGCAUUGUAGUGGGUUGAACAGUGUCCUCCAAAAAAAUACGUCCGAGUUCUAACCCCCGGUACCUGUGAAUGUGACCUUAUUUGGAAAUAGGAUUUUUGAGGCUAUAAUAAAACUAAGGAUCUCAAUAUGAGAUUAUCUUGAAUUCAGAAUGAACCCUAAACCAAAGAAAGGUGUCCUUAUAAGGCAAAGCAGAUGGAGAUUUGAGACAAGGCCAUAAAGCAGAAAGCCAUGUGAAGACAGAAACUGUGGAGUUGUGCAAUCCCAAACCACUGAGCCCCAAGAACUACCAGCAACCAACCCAAGAACUACCAGCCACUGAUGAAGAUCAAAGAAUACACCCCUCAGUAGGGAUUACAUCUCAACAUAAAGAAAGCAAAAAUUCUCACAACUGGACCAAUAAGCAAUGUCAUGAGAAAUGGAGAAAAUAUUGAAGUUGUCAAUGAUUUCAUUUCACUUGGAUCCAUAAUCAGUGCCAAUGGAAGCAGCAGUCAAGAAAUGAAGUGACGUAUUGCAUUGGGCAAAUCUGCUGCAAAAGACCCCUUUAGUGUUAAACAGCAAAGAUGUCACUUUGAGGACUAAGGUGAACCUGCCCCAAGCCAUGGUAUUCUCAAUAGCCUCAUAUGCACACAAAAUCUGGACAAUGAAUAAGGAAGACCAAAGAAAAAAUGAUGAAUUUGAAUUACGGUGUUGGUGAAGAAAACUGAAUAUACCAUGCACAAUGAGAAGAACUAAUAAACCUGCCUUGGAAGACAUACAGCCAGAAUACUCCUUAGAAAUGAAGAUGACAAGAUUUAGUCUUGCUUACUUUGGACAUGUUAUCAGGAGGGAUCAGUCCCUGGAGAAGGGCAUCAUGCUUGGUAAAGUAGAGGGUCAGCAAAAAAGAGGAAGACCCUCAAUGAGAUGGAUUGGCACAGUGACUGUAACAAUGGGCUCAAACACAGCAAUGAUUGUGAGGAUUGCACAAGACCAGGCAGUGUUUACUUCUGUUUUACAUAGGGUCACUAUGAAUCAGAACCAGCUCGACAGCACUUAACAACAACCAGAAGCUACGAAAGAGACAUGGAAAGCAUUUCCCCUCAGAGCCUCCUGAAAAAAAACAAUCCUGCUGGCAACUUGAUUUCAUAUUUCUGGCUUCUAGAACUGUGAGAGAAAAAAACGUCUCUCGUAUUAAGCCACCAAGUUAAUUUGUUACGCCAGCCCUAGGAACAAAUGGACGCGUUAAUUCAUGAACUCUACGAGGUCACCUACCUUCUAGACUGACAGGGAUAUUUAGAUACUGCUGAAUCAGCUGCAGAGAUCUUUUCCAACUAUGAUUUAUAAAAGAUAAUUCCACGCUUGGAUGUGCCCUGAGAUAUGAAGCAUGACAAGAACUAGCACCCAAGUACUUGUCAGAGUAAAAAUUGCCUGACAGCUGUUCCUCCUGGGGCUUGCUUCUCUCCUGCAAGCCAUCAACAGUGAAGAUACUCCUGGGAAGGGAAGAUAGAAACCUGCCAGGCGUAACCAGUGUUUUCAGAAUCCCCACUUGUUUACUACUCAACAGGUCCAGUUAAAGGGGCAGAUAUAAAAGAGAGAAGCAAGCAGAGAGACAUGGGGACCUCAUACCACCAAGAAACGAGGACCAGGAGAAUAGUGUGGCCUUUGGACCUGGGGUCGCUGCAGAGAAACUCUUCCACCAGGAGAAGACUGAUGAUAAGGACCUUCCUCUAGAGUCGAAAGAGAGAGGAAUCCUUCCCCUGGAGUUGAUGCCCUGAGUUUGGACUUGUAAUCUACUAGAC